GACGAACGCUGGCGGCGUGCCUAAUACAUGCAAGUAGAACGGAGUUACGAGCGGGUGAGUAACGCGUAGGUAACUGCCUGGUAGCGGGGGAAAACGAUUGGGAACGAUAGUUAAUACCGCAUAGGACUAGAGGGACCUGCGUUGUAUGAGCGGGUUGGUGGGGUACAGGCCCACCAAGGCAACGAUACAUAGCCGACCUGAGAGGGUGGUCGGCCGCCCUGGGACUGAGACCCUGCCCAUACUCCUUCGGGAGGCAGCCGUAGGCAAUCUUCGGCAAGGGACGGAAGUCUGUCCGAGCAACGCCGCGUGAGUGAAGAAGGUUUUCGGAUCGUAAAGCUCUGUUGUAAGAGAAGCGGUAUCUGACCAGAAAGCACCGGCUAACUACGUGCCAGCAGCCGCGGUAAUUC
rnacentral:rRNA from 1 species